GGGGUGGUGGCUCAGUGGUAGAGCGCUUGCCUGGCAUGCAUGAGGCACUGGGUUCGAUUCUCAGCACCUCA
rfam:Ictidomys tridecemlineatus contig014383, whole genome shotgun sequence.